rnacentral:rRNA from 1 species
CAACUCGGCUGCAUGAAGCUGGAAUCGCUAGUAAUCGCAGAUCAGAAUGCUGCGGUGAAUACGUUCCCGGGUCUUGUACACACCGCCCGUCACACCAUGGGAGUUGGAAAUGCCCGAAGUCAGUGACCGAACCGAAAGGAAGGAGCUGCCGAAGGUGGAGCCGAUGACUGGGGUGAAGUCGUAACAAGGUACC